CCUACGGGGGGCAGCAGUGAGGAAUAUUGGUCAAUGGGCGGAAGCCUGAACCAGCCAAGUCGCGUGAGGGACUAAGGCCCUACGGGUCGUAAACCUCUUUUGCCGGGGAUCAGUGCCCAGCUCGUGAGCUGGGAGGGAGCGUAACCGGAGAAAAAGCAUCGGCAAACGCCGUGCCAGCAGCCGCGGUAAUACGGGGGAUGCGAGCGUUACCCGGAUUUUUUGGGUUAAAAGGGUGCGUAGGCGGGCCUUCAGGCCGGCGGUAAAAUGGCGGGGCUCAACCCCGCCGUGCCGUUGAAACCGGGGGCCUAGAGUACCGGAGAAGUAAGCGGAAUGCGUGGUGUAGCGGUGAAAUGCAUAGAUAUCACGCAGAACCCCGAUUGCGAAGGCAGCGUACCGGCCGGUCACUGACGCUGAGGCACGAAAGCGCGGGUAUCGAACAGGAUUAGAUACCCGGGUAGUC
rnacentral:rRNA from 1 species